rnacentral:tmRNA from 1 species
GGGGGUGUACCGGAUUCGACGGAGUGAGUAGAAUCGCAGGCUGCAUGCCGAGUUUUCGCAAUGACACUCGUAAAUAAUCAUUCUGCAUUAAACAUAGUUGACAACAACUAUUCUUAUAGCUUAGCUGCGUAACGCAGCUUAGCCGUUCCUUCAGCUUCUUGCCUAUCAGUGCUGAAAGGAGCGCCGAUUAUGAUAGGAUAGCGUAGGUUUCGCUGUCUGUCGAACCUGCGUAAAACUUUAACAGGCUAGUCUGAAGUUGCCAGUUGCCGGGCGAUGCUUCAGGCGAAUUUUAAACGGCAAAUAAGCAUGUAGAUGCUUGAACGAUAUACCAUUUCGGACCGGGGUUCGACUCCCCGCACCUCCACAA